rnacentral:tRNA from 2 species
GGGCUCGUAGUGUAGCGGUUAACACGCCUCCCUGUCACGGAGGAGAUCGCCGGUUCAAAUCCGGUCGGGCCCGCCA